UGGUACGUACUGGCAUUAUUGGUUUCUCCCUUCUGACGAACCAAGAUGUCAUUAAUUUGGUGUCUUGGGAAAUCAGGACUGUUACUUUGAAAAAAUUAGAGUGUUUAAAGCAGGCUCGCGCUUGAAUACAUUAGCAUGGAAUAAUGAAAUAGGACGUUUGAUUCUAUUUUGUUGGUUUCUAGGAUCGACGUAAUGAUUAAUAGGGAUAGUUGGGGGCAUUAGUAUUCAAUUGUCAGAGGUGAAAUUCUUGGAUUUAUUGAAGACUAACUACUGCGAAAGCAUUUGCCAAGGAUGUUUUCAUUAAUCAAGAACGAAAGUUAGGGGAUCGAAGACGAUCAGAUACCGUCGUAGUCUUAACCAUAAACUAUGCCGACUAGGGAUCGGAUGAUGUUAAUUUUUUAAUGACUCAUUCGGCGCCUUACG
rnacentral:rRNA from 1 species